UCGGCAAGCAGGCCUGGGGCCACGGACACAAGCAUGACACGGACCCAGGGCUUCACGGAACGACACUGGCCCCGACCAGGGGGGCACGUUCUGGCGUGUUCUCUCCUGUUUUAUUUCAUGAAAACACAGGAUAAAACCAAAUGUCCACUGGUCCCAACUGCUCAAUUCAUUGCACGACUUACUAGUGGGUGGCAGCCACUGUUGGAGUCGGUGGCCUAGAUGUCCUCUCGGAGGACGCGACGUGGGUGCUGAUGGGUGGGGCGUCGCGGGAGCCCUGCCCCUGCAGACGUGUGUACAAGAGCAGGUGCAGCUCCAGGGACUCGGGCAGUGGGCCGGUCAGCCGGCCCCGUGGGAAGCGGACAGCCUCAUGGGGGACAGAAACAUUACAGAAACAACUUUCCAGGAAAUGGGAAUCCCUUUGUUCUUCCCCAUAAUAAAGACGUACACAGACGUCUGUCAGCGGCUUCUAAGACACCAGUGCGAUCCCUUUGCCGAGGCCCUGGAAGUCUUCGGAUGCUGAGGCAGCCAGACUGCGUUUGACGGUCGU
rnacentral:lncRNA from 1 species